rnacentral:rRNA from 1 species
AUUGAACGCUGGCGGCAGGCCUAACACAUGCAAGUCGAACGAGUGGCGGACGGGUGAGUAAUGUCUGGGAAACUGCCUGAUGGAGGGGGAUAACUACUGGAAACGGUAGCUAAUACCGCAUACCCACGGAUGUGCCCAGAUGGGCUUAGCUAGUAGGUGGGGUAACGGGUCACCUAGGCGGCGAUCCCUGGCUGGGCUGAGAGGAUGACAAGCCGCACUGGAACUGAGAGACGGUGCAGACGCCUACGGUAGGCAGCAGUGGGGAAUAGGGCACAAUGGGCGAAAGCGUGAUGCAGCCAUGCCGCGUGUAUGAAGGAGGCCUGCGGGUUGUAAAGUACUUUCAGCGGGGAGGCGUUACCCGGAGAAGAAGCACCGGCUAACUCCGUGCCAGCAGCCGCGGUAAUUC